CUGGCUCAGGAUGAACGCUAGCUACAGGCUUAACACAUGCAAGGUCGAGGGGCAGCAUGAAGUUUGCUUGCAAACUUGAUGGCGACCGGCGCACGGGUGAGUAACGCGUAUCCAACCUUCCCCUUAGUAGAGGAUAGCCCGGCGAAAGUCGGAUUAAUACUCUAUGUUGUAUUUUGAGGACAUCUGACGAAUACCAAAGAUUCAUCGCUAAGGGAUGGGGAUGCGUCUGAUUAGCUUGUUGGCGGGGUAACGGCCCACCAAGGCGACGAUCAGUAGGGGUUCUGAGAGGAAGGUCCCCCACAUUGGUACUGAGACACGGACCAAACUCCUACGGGAGGCAGCAGUGAGGAAUAUUGGUCAAUGGGCGAGAGCCUGAACCAGCCAAGUAGCGUGCAAGGGAAGACUGCCCUAUGGGUUGUAAACUGCUUUUAUCAGGGAAUAAAGUUCGGCACGUGUGCUGUUUUGUAUGUACCUGAUGAAUAAGGACCGGCUAAUUCCGUGCCAGCCGCCGC
rnacentral:rRNA from 1 species